AUGUCAGGAAUGAGCAAGGGGCUGGGAAGGGUAACGUGGGCCAAAGAGCAAGGCACAAGGUGUGGAGAAGGGGUGGCCCAGGUAGAAGACUCGAGGUACGGUUAACAGUGGGCUCAGGGCACCAAGAACUAAGGUAUGGAGAAGAGGUUGCUCAGGGCAGUGAUGAUGGGCAAACAUGGAACUGGGCCCGACGUUGUCAUCUGGGCAGCCCUUGGCCAAACUGUCAGGGGGAGCAUUUGGUGCCAGGGACCCUGGGGACCCACAAACCCCAGCUAUUCACCACCAGCUUUCCAGAGAUGGGAGCAGGGGCCUGAGCCUCUCCUGUCCCCUUUCCCUGGUGAGGCAACACCCGCCUGGAGGAUCCCACAUUCCCUUCCUCUCUCCCAGGUGGCCGUUACCGUUGGGGGCAGUAAACAUGACAUUGUCCUCAGUGAAGCCCAGGUACUUUGCAAAGUUGACGAAGUACUGCUUCAGUUCACGGCUCAACUCCUUGGUUCUCGCUGUGGGACAAGAUUGCCAGUGAGUGAACAACAGAGCUCAUAGGUGACGCUGUACAUUUUAAAGUAUCUUUGGCUUCCAUUCCGAAUUGUGUUCUCUGCUACACCUAUGACGUACCACUUCCCCUGGAACUGGAAGACAGUGAUGACAGCACAGCCCAGGGACAUCCCCAGGACUACCCCUCAAUACUAUCCCUCCUGGGACCCUUUGGCAGCAGAGCCUGGAGAUUGGGCUGCCCUGAGAAGCUGGCAGGAGCUGGGUCCUCACAGGGCCAGGAGGGACCCUGGGUGAGGAGCUAGCUCUCAGUUGUUGGGAAUGGGGGUGCUGGUGGGCCUUCCUGGGCCACAAUUUUCCCUUCUGUGCAGAGGGACUGAAGAUGUCCUCACCUGGCAUGCACUGGGCCUGGACUCCCUGAAUCUUGUUUCUGUCACUGAACACUGCCCUGAGUCCCAUUGCCUCUCCUCCCCUCUGGUUGAAUGGUCCCUGUCACCCAGGUACUCCUUGCAGGUGCUCUCCCAGAGCCUUUACCUGGUCUUCCUGGAAGUCUCGCAGUAAGGGGACCUUGUGCAAAGAUGGUCCUGAAGUCUCAGAUGGAGAAGAGUCCUGGGCUUGAGUCUGCAGGGCCCCCAGCAGGAAGAGGCCCAGACACAGGAGAUUCAGGGCCAUGACUUCAGAGCAGCUGCUGAGCCUGGAAUGUGUGGAAAGAGGAAGACGACUACUGAAGUUGCCCACCAGGGAAACUAUUUAUAGGCCAUCUGAAACCCACCCCUUCUGUGGUGGCCUAUCCUGCAAGGCUGAGUAAACUGCCCAAGUCACCUUCAGAAUCGCGUGACAAGAUACCUUUCUCUUUUCCCCUAGGAAGGAUUGUGCAAGAUAGAGAGAGGGAUGUCAGGAUAAAGUAUAAGGGUGUAAGAACAUUCUUUAAGGUUGGUUAAAUUAAUCUAUUUUGUAGGAAGGAGAAAUUUCCUCAAAAGAAGGAUUUUUGUUUGAAAAAUUGAUGCUAUUUUUGUG
rnacentral:lncRNA from 1 species